CUGCUGCCUCCCGUAGGAGUUUGGGCCGUGUCUCAGUCCCAAUGUGGCCGUCCACCCUCUCAGGCCGGCUACUGAUCGUCGCCUUGGUGGGCCCCUACCCCGCCAACAAGCUAAUCAGACGCGGGUCCAUCUUACACCACCGGAGUUUUUCACACCGGGCCAUGCGGCCCUGUGCGCUUAUGCGGUAUUAGCACCUGUUUCCAGGUGUUAUCCCCCUGUGUAAGGCAGGUUACCCACGCGUUACUCACCCGUCGCCACUCGAA
rnacentral:rRNA from 1 species